UGUUGCGUUUGCAGGGCUCUGGGCCCAGCCAGCACCCGUUUCCCCUCUGCUAGACAAUAUUCUCUGAUUUCCCCUGGGAUAUUAUCACCACCCUCUUUGUCUGUGUGCAUCAGGUGAGCUGACCCCAUUCCCAGGGGUAAGGCUGGCCAAUCAGAACUUUCCAGGCCCAUGGCUGCAGUGAUUGGUUCAGAGAUGGACACGUGAUCCGAUCCAAGCCCUCAGAACUCAGUUCUCUGGAAUAGAAAGAUGUUGUCGCCUCGAGGUGGCUGAGCUAGGGUGAUAUCAGCCUGGAGUAGCAAGUGGCCACUGUCCCACGGUGACAGCAAAGAGUGUCUGAAAAUACAGCCAAUGUAAGGCAAAGCAGAGCUGAGAGGUGGAGACAGCCGAAAGCACCAAAAGCAUUAUUGUUGCUCCUGGAUCCAGCUGUAUCUGAAGCAGACAUAACCCUGAACUCCUUAGUUAUAUAAGCCAAGAUAUUUUUCUCUCUCGUUCUCUCUUUUAAAACCCUCUUUGGGGUUGGGCUUCCAUUGCUUAAUUGCAAGAAUUGCUGACAAAUGCAUGAGCUUUUUCCUGAAUACAUCUCUUGGCACCUCACUGCCUAGCCCUUCAUGCAUGGCCCUGUGAGAAACUCCCUCCCGGGGAACUGCUCUGAAUAUCUACCCAUGGAGCUGAUGUGCUCAUCUUUCCUCACUCCUGGGUGAUAUGAGUAAUGUUCACUGGCUCUCUCUGCCUUGAGCAACUUUUGAAACAAGGCGGGGAGGGGCAAAUCAAGUAACCUGAAGAAGUCAAAUGGGCCCGAGCUCGUGAGAGCUAAGGCUGGGACUUCAGCCCCAUGGCUGCUCAGCACACAGAGGAUGCUUCUUGAACAUUCUUUGCUUGAUAAUGUAAGGAAGAAUGCUCCACUGUAGGUAAAGACCACAUUUGCUUUAUCCAUUCACCUGCCGAUGGAUACGUAGGUCGUUUCUACAUCCUGGCUGCUGUGAACACAGGAGUGCAGAUAUCUCUUCAAGAUCCUGAUUUCUGUUGGAUGAAGAUUGCUGGAUCAUCAUGCUACAUGAAAUAAGCCAGUCACAGAAGGACAGUUACUGCCCAAUUCCACUUAUAUGAAGUAUCUAAAAUAGGGAAACUCACAGAAGCGGAGAGUAGAGUGGGGGUUCACAGGGGCUGGGGGUAGGGGGAAACGGGAGUUGCUAGUCAACAGGUAUAAAGUUUUGGUUAUGCGAGAUGAAUUAAGUUCUAGAGAUCAUGUCUGUAGUCAACAAUAUUGUAUCGUAUGCUUAAAAAUCUAUGAAAAAGAUCUCCUGUUAACUGCUCUCACUACGAUAGAAAGAGCAUUCAUGAAACAACAUUAUGUGGAGCUUCCGAUGAUAUCAACCUUGAAAAAAAUUUUUAGAGGGUGCCUGGGUGGCUCAGUCGGUUAAGCAUCCAACUCAAUUUCAGCUCAGGUCAUGAUCUUGGGGCCGUGAGAUGGAGCUCCACAUGAGGCUGGCACUCAGCACAGUCUGUCCCUCUCUCCCUGCUUGCGCACACUCUGUCUCUGUUGCUCAAAAAAAUUUUUUUUAUGUAUGAAAGUUCUUAGAUAAAGGGGGAAAAAAAGAAACAGGCUCUUCUCUGUCUAGUGUUGGAGGUGGGGGAGAGGUCAUGAUGUUUGGGGCAAUGGCAGCCGUCUUGAGUGAAUGAAGGAGGGCAAGGCCUAAGUCCCAGGAUCUGGGUUUCUGCUGAUGUCAGUAAGCUGUUGAAUUACUCCGUCCCUGAUUCCCUAUCACUUCCAAGGGUGUACGAGAUAAUAAGUUCCCUUAUUCUUAAAGCCUCUUCGGGUUGGGUUUUUAUUACAGCCGAGAGCACGGCACCGAUGUGCCAAAUCCUGUAGAUGAAGUUGUUGCUUCCAAAUGGCCCUUGACGUUUCCCACCUGCCUCCUGAGUGAUGCAGAGGGACUCGCUUUCACUGGCGGGGAGGUGGGGCACGCAGGUCCUCAUCUGGCUGUUAGGCAUAGUCUGUGGCCUGGCAAUGCACUCAGGGCUCCCAGGAGGACUCCCAGGGGACCACCUGCCAGCUCCUCCAUAAUGCUCAAACUUUGCCUCUCUGGGCCUCCAUUUCCCCAUCUGUGGACUGGGGAUGGUCCUGCAGUCACCUAUUUCACAGGGUGUUAUGAAGACUAAAUGAAUUCUCUCCUUUACAGUAACAGGUGCAUUGGCAAGUGCUCAACAAACGUGAGCUGUUACUAUUAUGGCUGUUGUUAUUCCUCGGGGAGAGGGACAGAGGAACUCUGCUGACCUGGUGUGGGUGGCAGGAACAAGACUGGCAGCCUCAAGAGGGGAGACUAAGGUGGAAAGAAAGGAUUCAACCAAGGCAGGUGAGAGGUGAGCUAUUUCAGGAAGGCGGGAGGCUGAGGAACACCCUGCGUGAAGACAUGAUCGGCAGAGGCAGCAUUCAGUACCCCCACGGCGUCACCACAGCUUGGGGACCUUCCUCUCGAGACCUGGGGGGUCUUCCCACAUGCUGUAGAGCCUCCAGUGUUCAGGCUUGGGCUUCCUCCCUCACCCAUCCAGGGUCCCCAGCACCUCCACACAGUGCCCUGAAUAUCUUCUGGCCCCAGGUCCCAAACUUGACUCCCCCAGAGUGCCAGUGGGCCCUGUUGUCCCCGAUGGAUUGAGCAACUCAGGUGAGUGUGCAUUUUCCAGCUCAUGCUAACCACCAUUCAUUCAUUUCCUCUCAUGUUCAUGGAACUCUUGGUUCUUGGUCAUUUCACCAUGACCCUUCUUGUGAAGCCUCCAUGAUGCAGCCUGGAACCUGAGUCACCCUGAGAUCGCACCUCCCUUGACCUUGGUCCUGCAAGCCCCUGACCUGGUUCACAGAUGAAAACAGAAAUACUGACAAUAGUGUUGGUGAUGGUGGUGGUGAU